rnacentral:lncRNA from 1 species
UUAAAAUAUUUAAAUUUCAGGUGUUGAAAAAUCACUGUGAAAAGUGUUAAAAAGACUAAAAGCAAAGUGGGUUUAUAAAACAAAGUCCCACAAAUCAGAUUGUAUCAUAAUUUUUAUGCACAGUGGUUAUCAUUUACCCCUCUAUAGCAAACCAUUUUGAUUAUUUAGCAUAUUAAUUCAUUAAUAUGCUAAAUAAUCACAUCUAAUUUGGUAAUAUCUUCUCAUAAUUGAUAAGUUCAGGUUGUCUUUUAAGCAACUAUGGAGUAUCAAAAUAAUUCCAAGGUAAAAUAUAGUACUUUGAGUUUAGUGUCUUACAUACUAUAUUUUUCCCCCCUUCAUUUCCAGGACUCCACUAUUGUUACUCCAAUUAUUCUGAGGACUGAUCCACAAGGAUUUUUCUUUUAUUGGACAGAUCAAAAUAAGUUCAGCUGCACCCGUGAAAGUAAUGAAAUAUAACAUCUACUCUGCUCACCAGUGUACUUAGCUUGAGGUGGUCAAUAUCUCCUAGCCAAACAGUGACACCUUGGUUAAGCCAUUAUUUUGCUAGCCCAUCUGCUGCUGUCAGAUGAUAAUCUCAAGUACUGGCAUGAAGAAAGGAGCUGGAUUUCAAGUUCUGGAAAAUGGCAACUAAAACCUGAGUAAUAUUUUAAAAUUUUCCUAGUGUAGUGGAAUAGAGUCAAAAUGGGGGAUAGGAAAGACAGGUGGCUGCCCAGGGUAUAUGCAACAUACAGGGUGAUAGAAUGUACUUCUCCAUAUUAAUCUUCAUAAUAUUUUGAUAUUAUUUGUGUCAUAUAAUAAAAGGGAGGAAAGAAAAUAAGCA